UGGGAGAGGAGACCCUGUCUACUACACCCAGUACAGUGAACCAGUCCACAUACAGGUUAAUGUAACUGGAUUAUCUACAUCAGUCCUAGUAGGAGUGGUUGUAGGUCUGGUUGUUGCUGUUGUUCUACUGACCAUUCUCCUGGUCUUGGUUUUUCAAGUUUCCUGUUCUAACAGAAUAUUCUGGCCCAUCCAGAGUACCAACCAGGACCCCCAACAGGACCAAGGAUCCAACCAGUUUCAGUCUCCUGAUGCUGGGUAUACAGCACCUUUUGAUGUGACCUAUGCUGAGAUUGACUUUAAAAUGGUGAAAACCAAGAAGAAAGGUACAAGUGAACAUCCAUCCCAUAUUCACCCUCUCAUAACAUCACACCUGUUUAACCCUGAUUGAAUAGCUCUGUAUUAUUAUGUUUAUUACUACUGUAUUAUUUAUCUGUUUAAUCCUCAACCCUACAGAAUCAACACCAGCAGCAGCUACAGAAUUAUUUAUUAUUUAUUCUCAAUUAAAACCAGUUACAGCCAAUGGUAAGACAUAAUCACAUCUAUUAAAAGGGUUUGGAACUAAUGGUCUGAUAUUAACACUAGAACCACC
ensembl:lncRNA